rnacentral:tRNA from 1 species
GUCGGGAUAGCUCAGAUGGUAGAGCAGAGGACU